rnacentral:tRNA from 1 species
GGGCCCGUGGCUCAGCCUGGUUAGAGCGUCCGACCACGAAAUGUGGGGCGAAGCUGAUAACCGGAAGGUCGCGAGGCUAUAGAAAGCGUGAAUUCAAAUCUCGCCGGGCCCACCA